ACAUCCAGCGAACUUGGCAGAGAUGCCUUGGUGCCUUCGGGAACGCUGAGACAGGUGCUGCAUGGCUGUCGUCAGCUCGUGUUGUGAAAUGUUGGGUUAAGUCCCGCAACGAGCGCAACCCUUAUCCUUUGUUGCCAGCGAUUCGGUCGGGAACUCAAAGGAGACUGCCGGUGAUAAACCGGAGGAAGGUGGGGAUGACGUCAAGUCAUCAUGGCCCUUACGAGUAGGGCUACACACGUGCUACAAUGGCGCAUACAAAGAGAAGCGACCUCGCGAGAGCAAGCGGACCUCAUAAAGUGCGUCGUAGUCCGGAUCGGAGUCUGCAACUCGACUCCGUGAAGUCGGAAUCGCUAGUAAUCGUGGAUCAGAAUGCCACGGUGAAUACGUUCCCGGGCCUUGUACACACCGCCCGUCACACCAUGGGAGUGGGUUGCAAAAGAAGUAGGUAGCUUAACCCUCGGGAGGGCGCUUACCACUUUGUGAUUCAUGACUGGGGUGAAGUCGUAACAAGGUAGGCGUAGUGCU
rnacentral:rRNA from 1 species